rnacentral:rRNA from 1 species
AUUGAACGCUGGCGGCAGGCUUAACACAUGCAAGUCGAGCGGGAAUAGGUAGCUUGCUACCGAUUUCUAGCGGGGGACGGGUGAGUAAUGCUUAGGAAUCUGCCUAUUAGUGGGGGACAACAUUUCGAAAGGGAUGCUAAUACCGCAUACGUCCUACGGGAGAAAGCAGGGGAUCUUCGGACCUUGCGCUAAUAGAUGAGCCUAAGUCGGAUUAGCUAGUUGGUGGGGUAAAGGCCUACCAAGGCGACGAUCUGUAGCGGGUCUGAGAGGAGGAUCGGCCACACUGGGACUGAGACACGGCCCAGACUCCUACGGGAGGGAGCAGUGGGGAAUAUUUGACAAUGGGGGGAACCCUGAUCCAGCCAUGCCGCGUGUGUGAAGAAGGCCUUUUGGUUGUAAAGCACUUUAAGCGAGGAGGAGGCUACUUUGGUUAAUACCUAAAGAUAGUGGACGUUACUCGCAGAAUAAGCACCGGCUAACUCUGUGCCAGCCGCCGCCGUAA